rnacentral:rRNA from 1 species
CCUACGGGGGGCAGCAGUGGGGAAUAUUGGACAAUGGGGGCAACCCUGAUCCAGCCAUGCCGCGUGUGUGAAGAAGGCCCUCGGGUUGUAAAGCACUUUCAGUGAGGAAGAACGCCUGGUGGUUAAUACCCAUCAGGAAAGACAUCACUCACAGAAGAAGCACCGGCUAACUCCGUGCCAGCAGCCGCGGUAAUACGGAGGGUGCGAGCGUUAAUCGGAAUUACUGGGCGUAAAGCGCGCGUAGGUGGCUUGAUAAGCCGGUUGUGAAAGCCCCGGGCUCAACCUGGGAACGGCAUCCGGAACUGUCAAGCUAGAGUGCAGGAGAGGAAGGUAGAAUUCCCGGUGUAGCGGUGAAAUGCGUAGAGAUCGGGAGGAAUACCAGUGGCGAAGGCGACCUUCUGGACUGACACUGACACUGAGGUGCGAAAGCGUGGGUAGCAAACAGGAUUAGAUACCCCGGUAGUC